rnacentral:rRNA from 1 species
CUUAACACAAGUUGAGUAGGGAAAGUUUUUCGGUGUAGGAUGAGACUAUAUAGUAUCAGCUAGUUGGUAAGGUAAUGGCUUACCAAGGCUAUGACGCUUAACUGGUCUGAGAGGAUGAUCAGUCACACUGGAACUGAGACACGGUCCAGACUCCUACGGGAGGCAGCAGUAGGGAAUAUUGCGCAAUGGGGGAAACCCUGACGCAGCAACGCCGCGUGGAGGAUGACACUUUUCGGAGCGUAAACUCCUUUUCUUAGGGAAGAAUUCUGACGGUACCUAAGGAAUAAGCACCGGCUAACUCCGUGCCAGCAGCCGCGGUAAUACGGAGGGUGCAAGCGUUACUCGGAAUCACUGGGCGUAAAGGGCGCGUAGGCGGAUUAUCAAGUCUCUUGUGAAAUCUAAUGGCUUAACCAUUAAACUGCUUGGGAAACUGAUAGUCUAGAGUGAGGGAGAGGCAGAUGGAAUUGGUGGUGUAGGGGUAAAAUCCGUAGAUAUCACCAAGAAUACCCAUUGCGAAGGCGAUCUGCUGGAACUCAACUGACGCUAAGGCGCGAAAGCGUGGGGAGCAAACAGGAUUAGAUACCCUGGUAGUCCACGCCCUAAACGAUGUACACUAGUUGUUGGGAUGCUAGUCAUCUCAGUAAUGCAGCUAACGCAUUAAGUGUACCGCCUGGGGAGUACGGUCGCAAGAUUAAAACUCAAAGGAAUAGACGGGGACCCGCACAAGCGGUGGAGCAUGUGGUUUAAUUCGAAGAUACGCGAAGAACCUUACCUGGGCUUGAUAUCCUAAGAACCUUAUAGAGAUAUGAGGGUGCUAGCUUGCUAGAACUUAGAGACAGGUGCUGCACGGCUGUCGUCAGCUCGUGUCGUGAGAUGUUGGGUUAAGUCCCGCAACGAGCGCAACCCACGUAUUUAGUUGCUAACGGUUCGGCCGAGCACUCUAAAUAGACUGCCUUCGUAAGGAGGAGGAAGGUGUGGACGACGUCAAGUCAUCAUGGCCCUUAUGCCCAGGGCGACACACGUGCUACAAUGGCAUAUACAAUGAGACGCAAUACCGCGAGGUGGAGCAAAUCUAUAAAAUAUGUCCCAGUUCGGAUUGUUCUCUGCAACUCGAGAGCAUGAAGCCGGAAUCGCUAGUAAUCGUAGAUCAGCCAUGCUACGGUGAAUACGUUCCCGGGUCUUGUACUCACCGCCCGUCACACCAUGGGAGUUGAUUUCACUCGAAGCCGGAAUACUAAACUAGUUACCGUCCACAGUGGAAUCAGCGACUGGGGUGAAGUCGUAACAAGGUAACCGUAGGAGAACCUGCGGUUGGAUCACCUCCUUU